rnacentral:rRNA from 1 species
CCUACGGGCGGCAGCAGUCGAGAAUCAUUCACAAUGGGGGAAACCCUGAUGGUGCGACGCCGCGUGGGGGAAUGAAGGUCUUCGGAUUGUAAACCCCUGUCAUGUGGGAGCAAAUUAAAAAGAUAGUACCACAAGAGGAAGAGACGGCUAACUCUGUGCCAGCAGCCGCGGUAAUACAGAGGUCUCAAGCGUUGUUCGGAAUCACUGGGCGUAAGGCGUGCGUAGGCUGUGUCGUAAGUCGUGUGUGAAAGGCGCGGGCUCAACCCGCGGACGGCACAUGAUACUGCGAGACUAGAGUAAUGGAGGGGGAACCGGAAUUCUCGGUGUAGCAGUGAAAUGCGUAGAUAUCGAGAGGAACACUCGUGGCGAAGGCGGGUUCCUGGACAUUAACUGACGCUGAGGCACGAAGGCCAGGGGAGCGAAAGGGAUUAGAUACCCCGGUAGUC